rnacentral:tRNA from 1 species
AUUUAUGCUAGUAUAACUCAAUUAAAAGCCGGAAUAGCUCAGUUGGUAG